AGUGAGAGAGAGAGAGAAGGAAGGAAGGGACAAAAGGUUUUGAUACUUGUAUUCCCAUUGCAUGGGCGUGCAAUCCUCUGGUUCAGCGUUGUGUCAUCUCUGUAGCGGUUGGACCCCUUCAGCAUCAGUGCGACGCCGGCAUCGUGUGAUGCUGAGUGAAUAGACGCUGUCCAGACGCUGCUUCAUGGGGAGAGAGACAUCGUGUGGACCAGAAUCAGCCGCCAAACACACAGAGGGAAGGCUGGGACCAGGACCAAGCCGUAUUCAACUCAAGCCAGAACCAAAUAGCCAAGAUCUUGACCACAGUUAUGGACCAAACAGAGACAAAAGCGCAGUCAUCUCCACAAAAACAGUCUGCCAAGAACAGAUCCAAAUCCACAGAGGAGGAAACUCGAUCAAAGAAGAGCUUUCACACCCCCCAGAAGUCUCUUCCUGUGCAGCCUGACACCGAGAAUCCCAAGAUGGAUCCAGCGCCGCCUACAUCCUAGAACACUUCUUAUCUGAUGCUCAUUUGUAAUGUAUGUUGUGUUCUUUGUCAGUCAUGGUACCCACCGUAAGCCAUAUUUGAAUAACAAUAAUACUCUAAAUGAACUUGAUGUGUUAAUUGGAUGUGCCAGUGCAAGGGUUCCGUUAGUGGUCAUUAUCAAGUGUGUAACCUUACUCAUCCUCCCAGUAUAAUGCAUUAUUAUCUACAUUCCUGCUCAACUGUAGUCUGGCAAGCCAGAGGGUGCGUCUAGAUUUCUAGGCUAACUCAACUGCAGAUCCUGUAUGAUUUCAAUUUUUUUGCUUUACCAUGCAGUCAUUGUCUAGUGGGGUGUAUGGUUGUGAAUGAUUCUCAUGGAGUUGCACAGAUGCCUCUGAUCUUCAGACUGAGAGGAGAGCGCCAGAGGCUCUGGGAUGUUGUCAGAGGGAGGAGCACUGGCAGUGGCAGCUGGUGCUGUCCAAGUAGGGCUCUCACCCCCCUCUGUCCCUACAGACACCUCACUCUAUGGCUCCCCUACACACUGAGGGAUAAUUGCAAAAUCCUAAUAUGUGAUGCAAUAUGCAAAUAGAGAAAUGAAAUAGAUGAUAAUGGGCGCGUUUCCCAGAUUCGUUAAGAAGCUCUUAAGUUCUAAGAACGUCUUAGGAGCGCUUCGAGAACGUUCUAAGAACGCUCCUAAGAAGGGUUUUUUUUAGCACUUAAGAGCUUCUUAACAAAUAUGGGACCAAUGACUAUACCCAGCACAUACUGUGACAAAAAAAUAUGUGUUGCCAAUGCCACUGCGUUACUUGUAGUGAAUGUGUGAGUAUCUGGGCAGAAGUUGUAUUUGCUCAUGGAUAUGAAAAUUAUCAUCUUCUUAAAGAUAGUGAAAGAGAUCACUCUAAUCCCUGCAGACACAGGACAUAUAGCAACAUUUGGCAUACAUUUUAAAGCAGUUUUGGCAUAAAUUAACAACAUAUUUGUAUGUGUCUGAAAGCCAUUAAAGCCACUUGUGUAUUUUUCCUUUUUUGAAGAAUAUUAGAGCAACAAAGUACCAAUACUACCAGUGCCACAUUGUCUUCGCAGUUUUUGAAUUGUUUUUUUUUUGUUUGUUCUUGGUUGAUGUACUUUGCUUUGUAUGAGGGUAUAAUCAUUUCCUGUUGCUAUUUUGCACUUCUCCCUACUUAGUUUGAGAUUGAAUGUGAAAGAUUAACCACAAAAGAAGAGUUUGCUAUUUUCCUCCAUUGCAUGGAAAACAAUCUGUUCUAACAUUCUGUUAUCAUCUUUUAUGUACCAGAAAACAAUCUAAAAACAAAGCUAAUGUGGAUUACGUUUCAUUCAUUAGUAGGCUCCGAAUGAGUUGUGAUGUUUUUUACACAUGCUUUCUUCAAAGUUUCAUUUUUGGGUGAGUCAUUAUUUCAGUUGCGGAGAGAUCAAUGGAUGUAGUCAGAAUAAUAAAGAGUUAAAAGACU